UGGUCCUCAGUUUUCUCAUCUGUAAAUUGAGUUUGGAUUAAAUGGCCUCUAACAUCCCCUUCACCGUUAAAUCUGUAAUCUUAGGAUGAGCUUUGACCUUCUGAUUGUAACCCAUUCUGAAUCUGAAGCUGUUUUUGGCCUUUCACAAGUUACGGAAUGAGACUUGUGCUUACACCUGUGUAACUUGAUUAUUUGGAUUGUUUUCGAAGGUUGCAGAGAAAAAAAGGGAUAUGAUUUACCCCUGAAGACUGCUUUAGCUGCAUCCCAGAAAUUUUGAGUUCCUAUUCAACUCCACUAUUUUCAUCAGGAAUACUUGGAAGUCCUGUCUUUCAUUGAUGGUCUAUUUCUUCACUUGUAGGAUUAUACUCAGUUUUUUCUGGUUUUUCAGAAAUUGUCAGUGACUUCAGAUUCUGAUUUCCAGAGAGCAAUUUCAGUACUGCAUACUUC